CCUACGGGAGGCAGCAGUAGGGAAUCUUCCACAAUGGGCGCAAGCCUGAUGGAGCAACACCGCGUGAGUGAAGAAGGGUUUCGGCUCGUAAAGCUCUGUUGUUGGAGAAGAACGUGCGUGAGAGUAACUGUUCACGCAGUGACGGUAUCCAACCAGAAAGUCACGGCUAACUACGUGCCAGCAGCCGCGGUAAUACGUAGGUGGCAAGCGUUAUCCGGAUUUAUUGGGCGUAAAGCGAGCGCAGGCGGUUGCUUAGGUCUGAUGUGAAAGCCUUCGGCUUAACCGAAGAAGUGCAUCGGAAACCGGGCAACUUGAGUGCAGAAGAGGACAGUGGAACUCCAUGUGUAGCGGGGGAAUGCGGAGAUAUAUGGAAGAACACCAGUGGCGAAGGCGGCUGUCUGGUCUGCAACUGACGCUGAGGCUCGAAAGCAUGGGUAGCGAACAGGAUUAGAUACCCCUGUAGUC
rnacentral:rRNA from 1 species